UACGUAGGGACCGAGCGUUGUCCGGAAUCAUUGGGCGUAAAGAGCGUGUAGGCGGCCACUUAAGUCCUGCGUGAAAUCCUGCGGCUCAACCGCAGGCGGUCGUGGGAAACUGGGUGGCUAGAGUGCGGGAGAGGAGAGUGGAAUUCCUGGUGUAGCGGUGGAAUGCGCAGAUAUCAGGAAGAACACCAACGGCGAAGGCAGCUCGCUGGGACGGUACUGACGCUGAGGCGCGAAAGCGUGGGGAGCGAACAGG
rnacentral:rRNA from 1 species